rnacentral:rRNA from 1 species
UACGUAGGUGGCGAGCGUUGUCCGGAUUUACUGGGCGUAAAGAGCGCGCAGGCGGCUGGUCCAGUCCGAUGUGAAAGCUCCCGGCUUAACUGGGAAAUUGCAUCGGAAACUGAUCGGCUGGAAGGUGGGAGAGGGUAGCGGAAUUCCCGGUGUAGUGGUGAAAUGCGUAGAUAUCAGGAAGAACACCCGUGGCGAAGGCGGCUCUCUGGGACGGUACUGACGCUGAGACGCGAAAGCGUGGGGAGCGAACAGG